AUUGAACGCUGGCGGCAGGCCUAACACAUGCAAGUCGAGCGAGCGGCGGACGGGUGAGGAAUGUCUGGGAAACUGCCUGAUGGAGGGGGAUAACUACUGGAAACGGUAGCUAAUACCGCAUACCAUCAGAUGUGCCAAGAUGGGAUUAGCUAGUAGGUGGGGUAACGGCUCACCGACGCGACGAUCUCUAGCUGGUCUGAGAGGAUGACCAGCCACACUGGAACUGAGAAACGGGCCAGACGCUUGCGGGAGGCAGCAGUGGCGAAUAAUGCACAAUGGGCGCAAGCCGGAUGCAGCCAUGCCGCGUGUGUGAAGAAGGCAUUCGGGGUGUAAAGCACCUUCAGCGGGGAUGAGUUACCCGCAGAAGAAGCACCGGCUAACUCCGUGCCAGCCGCCGCGGUAAUUC
rnacentral:rRNA from 1 species